GCCAGACUCCUACGGGAGGCAGCAGUGGGGGAUAUUGCACAAUGGGGGAACCCUGAUGCAGCGACGCCGCGUGGGUGAAGGAGUAUUUCGGUAUGUAAAGCCCUAUCGGCAGGGAAGAAGCAAGACGGUACCAGACUAAGAAGCCCCGGCUAACUACGUGCCAGCAGCCGCGGUAAUACGUAGGGGGCGAGCGUUAUCCGGAUUCACUGGGUGUAAAGGGAGCGUAGACGGCCAAGCAAGCCAGGGGUGAAAGCCCGGGGCCCAACCCCGGGACUGCAUUUGGAACUGUAAGGCUAGAGUGUCGGAGAGGCAGGCGGAAUUCCUAGUGUAGCGGUGAAAUGCGUAGAUAUUAGGAGGAACACCAGUGGCGAAGGCGGCCUGCUGGACGAUGACUGACGUUGAGGCCCGAAAGCGUGGGGAGCAAACAGGAUUAGAUACCCGGGUAA
rnacentral:rRNA from 1 species